rnacentral:rRNA from 1 species
GAUGAACGCUGGCGGCGUGCCUAAUACAUGCAAGUCGAGCGAACAGACGAGGAGCUUGCUCCUCUGACGUUAGCGGCGGACGGGUGAGUAACACGUGGAUAACCUACCUAUAAGACUGGGAUAACUUCGGGAAACCGGAGCUAAUACCGGAUAAUAUAUUGAACCGCAUGGUUCAAUAGUGAAAGACGGUUUUGCUGUCACUUAUAGAUGGAUCCGCGCCGCAUUAGCUAGUUGGUAAGGUAACGGCUUACCAAGGCAACGAUGCGUAGCCGACCUGAGAGGGUGAUCGGCCACACUGGAACUGAGACACGGUCCAGACUCCUACGGGAGGCAGCAGUAGGGAAUCUUCCGCAAUGGGCGAAAGCCUGACGGAGCAACGCCGCGUGAGUGAUGAAGGUCUUCGGAUCGUAAAACUCUGUUAUUAGGGAAGAACAAAUAUGUAAGUAACUAUGCACGUCUUGACGGGACCUAAUCAGAAAGCCACGGCUAACUACGU